GCCGCCUAUUUCUGCUAAAUAUUGGAGUGUUUUUUGACACACAAACUUAUAACAAAGAACUUCUCAUGUGUAUUUUGUAAAGCUGGUGUGUGCUAUUCCUGUACUUUAUUUUGUGUUCAGCUACAUCUGCUAAGUACAACGAUACCCCUAUUGUAUGUAUUUGGCACUAUUUUGUGAAGCUACAGUGCCAUGUAGGAGACCUGUCCAUUUCAGUAUUUACAGUAGAAUUUUGAAAGACGGAUUUGAUGGGCCCAUGUUUCAAUUUAGGGCAUUAUAGCAGUUUGACUGUUAAAACCCCCCCACAAAGGCCUACCAUUUCUUAAAGUAGACACACCAGGGUAUUUAAAAACGCAUAUUUUAAAC